rnacentral:rRNA from 1 species
AGUGAACGCUGGCGGUAGGCCUAACACAUGCAAGUCGAACGGCAGCACAGUAAGAGCUUGCUCUUACGGGUGGCGAGUGGCGGACGGGUGAGGAAUACAUCGGAAUCUACUUUUUCGUGGGGGAUAACGUAGGGAAACUUACGCUAAUACCGCAUACGACCUACGGGUGAAAGCAGGGGAUCUUCGGACCUUGCGCGAUUGAAUGAGCCGAUGUCGGAUUAGCUAGUUGGCGGGGUAAAGGCCCACCAAGGCGACGAUCCGUAGCUGGUCUGAGAGGAUGAUCAGCCACACUGGAACUGAGACACAGUCCAGACUCCUACGGGAGGCAGCAGUGGGGAAUAUUGGACAAUGGGCGCAAGCCUGAACCAGCCAUACCGCGUGGGUGAAGAAGGCCUUCGGGUUGUAAAGCCCUUUUGUUGGGAAAGAAAAGCAGCAGGUUAAUACCCCGCUGUUCUGACGGUACCCAAAGAAUAAGCACCGGCUAACUUCGUG